rnacentral:tRNA from 8 species
CGGGACGUGGCGCAGUUUGGCUAGCGCACCAGUAUGGGGUACUGGGGGUCGGAGGUUCAAAUCCUCUCGUCCCGACCA